UCCAAUGGCCUAGUGGUUAAAUCAUCCGCCUCAGAUGCGAGAGGUCAUGAGUUCGAUCCCCGGUCUUAAAAA